UACGUAGGGUGCGAGCGUUGUCCGGAAUUAUUGGGCGUAAAGGGUUCGUAGGCGGUUUGUUGCGUCGGGAGUGAAAACCUUGGGCUUAACUCAGGGCUUGCUUUCGAUACGGGCAGACUAGAGGUAUGCAGGGGAGAACGGAAUUCCUGGUGUAGCGGUGAAAUGCGCAGAUAUCAGGAGGAACACCGGUGGCGAAGGCGGUUCUCUGGGCAUUACCUGACGCUGAGGAGCGAAAGCUAGGGGAGCAAACGGG
rnacentral:rRNA from 1 species